CCAAUAGCGUAUAUUAAAGUUGUUGCAGUUAAAAAGCUCGUAGUUGAAUUUCGGGAUCAAAUAAUCGGUCGUGCCUCCGGUACGUACUGGUUUUAUUGGUUCCUCCCUUCUGACGAACCAUGAUGUCAUUAAUUUGAUGUGGUGGAGAAUCAGGACUGUUACCUUGAAAAAAUUAGAGUGUUUAAAGCAGGCUAACGCUUGAAUACAUUAGCAUGGAAUAAUGAAAUAGGACGUUCGACCCUAUUUUGUUGGUUUCUAGGAUCGACGUAAUGAUUAAUAGGGAUAGUUGGGGGCAUUAGUAUUCAAUUGUCAGAGGUGAAAUUCUUGGAUUUAUUGAAGACUAACUACUGCGAAAGCAUUUGCCAAGGAUGUUUUCAUUAAUCAAGAACGAAAGUUAGGGGAUCGAAGACGAUCAGAUACCGUCGUAGUCUUAACCAUAAACUAUGCCGACUAGGGAUCGGAUGAUGUUAAUUUUUUAAUGACUCAUUCGGCGCCUUACG
rnacentral:rRNA from 1 species